rnacentral:lncRNA from 10 species
GAGAAAAGCACAGGCGGAGAAAAGACGAUUUUUCUUACAGGGCUAAAAUGCAGGGGACUUCCUUAUCCUGCCGACUUAGAGAAGCCCGGCCCCUUGUGAUCCAUUGCUGAAAGCCGCCUCGUGUUUGAAAAACGGAUCCGCUCCCAACUUCAGUGGAAGGACAUGACAUGUAGCACGAGGAAAGAUUGUGGCAUAUUACUGAACUAAGCAACCUAGUGACGUGUCUCUUCUGACUGGGGCUUGCCCACAGAGACAACUGUGACAUAGCACUGAGCCCAGGACCCAGGUGAUGUGACUCUGCUGCCUGUUUCCAACAUUCAUGAGAGGAUGGUAACUAUCCCUUGCCAAGAACUCAGGUGAUUUGACUGUCCUGCCUUGUUGCUGCCCUCAGAGAAGAUUGUGAUAUAUCUUCAGCCCCAAACCCAGACUUUCCUGCAGGAGUGAUGCUGACAUGUUCCUCUAUUUGGCAUCUGAGUGAUAUGACUCUUGCCAUGGUCUAGCCCACAGAUGGAAUUGUGAUGUGUUGCUGUACCCAGCACCUAGGUGAUGUAACUCCAUUUUUCUGCCUUGGCAUUGCUCACAAAAGGUAUUUUGACAUAUCUCUGGGGUAUGUACCCAGGUUUCAUGACUCUCUUGCCUGUGCC